rnacentral:rRNA from 1 species
CGAUAGCGUAUAUUAAAGUUGUUGCGGUUAAAAAGCUCGUAGUUGGAUUUCUGCCGAGGACGACCGGUCCGCCCUCUGGGUGAGUAUCUGGCUCGGCCUGGGCAUCUUCUUGGAGAACGUAGCUGCACUUGACUGUGUGGUGCGGUAUCCAGGACUUUUACUUUGAGGAAAUUAGAGUGUUUCAAGCAGGCACACGCCUUGAAUACAUUAGCAUGGAAUAAUAAGAUAGGACCUCGGUUCUAUUUUGUUGGUUUCUAGAGCUGAGGUAAUGAUUAAUAGGGAUAGUUGGGGGCAUUCGUAUUUAACUGUCGGAGGUGAAAUUCUUGGAUUUGUUAAAGACGGACUACUGCGAAAGCAUUUGCCAAGGAUGUUUUCAUUGA